rnacentral:tRNA from 1 species
CAGGGAGACAAAAACUGAUCGUGAAUUCUAAGUAUUUCUUCUUAGAUCAUGAUCCUGUCACCUUAGGUCGAUCGGUACCUCAGAUUUCCAAGAAAAAGGUAUUAACUUUCCUUGGAUAAUUUCAGUUCCUAAACUUGUCUAGGUCACACCCAGCAAGGGUACUCCUGGGCCAUUAGCUCAGGUGGUUAGAGCGCACCCCUGAUAAGGGUGAGGUCCCUGGUUCAAGUCCAGGAUGGCCCAUUCGGUGUUUGGGGGUUUAGCUCAGUUGGUAGAGCGCCUGCUUUGCAAGCAGGAUGUCAGCGGUUCGAGUCCGCUAACCUCCACUGACCGACCUCCUGUAGCGCCAGUCAUGUGAGGGCUCUUAAGGGAAAUGAUCCAGUUUAUUCCGCUAGCGGAACCUAGCUUCCUAUCAUUCCAGCCAAAAUAAAUUGGUUAGGUUGAAAGGACGCUGGGCUCACUGUGAAUUAAUGACUUCACAGGAACGUUCGGCAGAACCUUGACAACUGCAUAGAUUUAAGUCUGGAAAAAAUAAAGCAUCUCAUGGAGAUAUUUUUUCUUGGAUAAUCAAUUAACAUUUUCAUUUUUAAAUGCUAAUGAAAAUUGAAUCCAUUAGAAAAGUAUUGAUUCUUGAGUUAGAGCCAAGACUCUAAUAAUUACUUUAAAUAUAGUUAUUAGAGAAAAAU